GACGAACGCUGGCGGCGUGCUUAACACAUGCAAGUCGAACGGAAAGGCCCUGCUUUUGUGGGGUGCUCGAGUGGCGAACGGGUGAGUAACACGAGAGUAACCUGCCCUUGACUUUGGGAUAACUUCAGGAAACUGGGGCUAAUACCGGAUAGGAGCUCCUGCUGCGUGGUGGGGGUUGGAAAGUUUCGGCGGUUGGGGAUGGACUCGCGGCUUAUCAGCUUGUUGGUGGGGUAGUGGCUUACCAAGGCUUUGACGGGUAGCCGGCCUGAGAGGGUGACCGGCCACAUUGGGACUGAGAUACGGCCCAGACUCCUACGGGAGGCAGCAGUGGGGAAUAUUGCACAAUGGGCGGAAGCCUGAUGCAGCAACGCCGCGUGCGGGAUGACGGCCUUCGGGUUGUAAACCGCUUUCGGCUGUGACGAAGCGGGAGUGACGGUAAUUGGUAAAGAAGCACCGGCUAACUACGUG
rnacentral:rRNA from 1 species